AGCUCCAAUAGCGUAUAUUAUUGAUGUUGCAGUUGAAACGUUCGUAGUCGAAUUUGGUCCACACGGGUUCUCUGUGCACUUUCACGGUGUCAGAGUUACUAUCAAGUGGAGAUUCGCUGCCAUUCUGUUGGGUGUUUCAUUCGAUGUUUGGCAGUGGUACUUUGAGUGAAUCGGCGUGUUCCACGCAGGCACUGUGCCAUGAACGCUUCACCAUAGUAUACCUAGACUGUAAGAGUGCAUUUCCGUCAGCUGAAUUGCAUUCUUGACAGCCAUGAGAACGGUUCAGGGCAUUCGUAUUCAACUGCCAGAGGUGAAAUUCUAUGACUAGUUGAGGACGAACCAUUGCGAAAGCAUCUGCCAGGGACGUUUCUU
rnacentral:rRNA from 1 species